rnacentral:rRNA from 1 species
CACGUAGGGUGCGAGCGUUGUCCGGAAUUAUUGGGCGUAAAGAGCUCGUAGGCGGUGUGUCGCGUCGGCCGUGAAAACCUGCAGCUUAACUGUGGGCUUGCGGUCGAUACGGGCAUCACUGGAGUUCGGCAGGGGAGACUGGAAUUCCUGGUGUAGCGGUGAAAUGCGCAGAUAUCAGGAAGAAUAUCCGUGGCGAAGGCGGCUCUCUGGUACGGCACUGACGCUGAGACGCGAAAGCGUGGGAGCAAACAGG